rnacentral:SRP_RNA from 1 species
GUAUAUUUCGUGGAAGGCUGCACGCAUUAAGGGAUGUUGAUAUCAAGGUCUUAUGCAACGUGCCGCCGUGAACCGUGUCAGAGCAGGAAUGCAGCAGCACUAAGCGGUUUAGCCCGUGUGCCAUAAGGUAGCUUUGAAGUAGUUGCCUGGUGCGCUAACGCUUCGGCGGACUAUAUCGAUGACGGCUGCACGG